AACUGAUACUACCUGCGGGAACCUGCGGAAGGAUCAUUACCGAGUUUACAACUCCCAAACCCCAAUGUGAACGUUACCAAACUGUUGCCUCGGCGGGAUCUCUGCCCCGGGCGCGUCGCAGCCCCGGACCAAGGCGCCCGCCGGAGGAAAAAAAAACAACCAAAACUCUUUUUGUAUACCCCCUCGCGGGUUUUUUACUUCUGAGAACUUCUCGGCGCCCCUUAGCGGGCGUUUCGAAAA
rnacentral:misc_RNA from 1 species